GGGCAACUGGGCAACUUUGACUCUCCACAGGUUUUGAUAAAUCUCCCCCAGGGAGCCGAUCAUUUACGAUCUACUGCACUUGGAAGUCUUGUAAGGUUUUCCUAGGUUGCAGUGCGGCCUGAAACAUUACAUUACUAGUACGGUGUUCAGAGGGAGCCUGUCUGUGCUUCAAUGGGUGGAGUGACCUCUGGGUGGGAGAUCAUUCUGAAAGAAUUUGCAACAGCUGAAGGCACCCUGGUCAGAAAACACUGGUCUAUUGCAAUGCGACAGCUCAGGAUCUCAUCCUCCAUUAGAGAUCGGGAUGGGAGUGAAGGAUGAGAAGCGGCGCUAAUUACGGUUCAGUGAAGAACUCGGAGGACGCGCUGGGAUUUCCCUCGGCGCUUCGAGGAAAGUGUUUAGAAUUCAUGAAGAGAAAUACAAGAAAUAUUUGUUUAUUGAGCGAGUCCUGGGAGCGAGACGACUCUGAACUAAUGUUUGUUUCUACAAAUUUCCAUCCCCGGCCUUCAGAUAUUGUAGCAGCCGAUUACACGA